UGCGUUAAUCCUACACCACUCAAAUAUAUAGAUAUAGAGUAUACAUACAUUCAGGUACAGCUCUGUACACAAUCAUUUUCCUUGAAACCUAAAAAUAGCUCAAUAACAUCAACAUCUCCAACUACACGACAGCUCACCAUUUCAAUGGCAAUUUCUCCUCAAAAAAACCAUUAUUUAGGCUGACUGUCAACUAAUCCUAUUGAUCUUUUUGGCCUUCCCUUUCCCCCUUUUUUCGCAAAUCUUCAAACGACCCUUUCGAUAUUUUACCCCUUUUUUGCAAAUUUUGAAUUACCCAUCUGAUAUUUUGGCUUUUUGAUCGCAAUUUGGAAGCACCCUUUUGAUAAAGUUUGGUUCUUUUAGGAAAAAAAUUCAACUAUACAUAUUUUUUGUUAAAAGUUUGCAGAAUCCAUGGCCGGCAUCGCUACCGCCGGCGACACCAGCACCAGUACCAGCAGCAACCUAGCGCCGACGAGGAGUUUGAGCAAGAAGGAAAAUCAGGGGCUUCUGUUGGGCAGGUAUGAAAUUGGGAAAUUACUAGGGCAUGGUACUUUUGCUAAGGUGUACCAUGCUAGAAAUGUGAAGACGAAUGAGAGCGUAGCGAUUAAGGUGAUUGAUAAAGAAAAGAUCUUGAAAGUGGGUCUUAUUGAUCACAUAAAACGUGAGAUCUCAAUUCUCAAGAGAGUAAGGCAUCCAAAUAUAGUUGAAUUGUACGAAGUUAUGGCUACCAAAGCCAAAAUCUUCUUUGUCAUGGAGUAUGUCAAAGGCGGUGAGCUCUUCAAUAAGGUUGCCAAAGGCAGGCUUAAGGAAGAAGUUGCUCGGAAAUAUUUCCAGCAGUUAAUCUCUGCUAUCGCUUUUUGUCAUGCCCGGGGUGUUUACCAUAGGGACCUAAAGCCAGAAAAUAUACUGUUAGAUGAAGAUGGGAAUGUCAAAGUUUCUGAUUUUGGCCUUAGUGCCAUUUCAGAGCAGAUAAAGCAAGAUGGGCUCUUUCAUACUUUCUGUGGUACUCCGGCUUAUGUGGCGCCGGAGGUGUUAGGAAGAAAGGGUUAUGAUGCAGCCAAAGUAGACAUUUGGUCAUGUGGGGUGAUACUCUUUGUGCUAAUGGCAGGGUAUUUACCAUUUCAUGAUCAGAAUGUUAUGGCUAUGUACAAGAAGAUUUAUAGGGGUGAAUUUAGAUGUCCCAGGUGGUUUUCACCUGAAUUAACUCGGUUUUUAAAGCACCUUCUUGAUAUUAAUCCCGAAACCAGGAUUACUGUUCAGGAGAUUAUGAAUAAUAGGUGGUUCAAGAAGGGUUUUAAACAUGUUAAAUUUUAUAUUGAGGAUGAUAAGUUGUGUAGUAUAAAUGAUGAUGAGUAUGGUGGGAUUGAUUAUUCGUCUGAUAGAUCAGAGUCUGAGUCUGAAAUAGAGAUCAGAAGGAGGUCAGCUACUUUGCCUAGGCCAGCUAGCUUGAAUGCAUUUGAUAUUAUUUCAUUUUCCCGUGGCUUUGAUUUGUCCGGUUUGUUUGAGGAGGGAGGAGAUGGGGCAAGGUUUGUAUCCGGGGCUCCUGUGCCCAAGAUCAUAAAUAAGUUGGAGGAAAUUGCUAAAGUUGUGAGCUUUGCAGUAAGGAAGAAGGAUUGUAAAGUGAGUAUGGAGGGGUCUAAGGAAGGUGCAAAGGGGCCGUUGACAGUUGCAGCUGAGAUAUUUGAGUUGACGCCAUCGUUGAGAGUUGUUGAAGUGAAGAAGAAAGGAGGAGACAGCUUGGAGUAUGAGGAGUUUUACAACAGGGAAUUGAAGCCAGGAUUACAGAAUUUAGCACAUGAAGUUGGAUACCCUGUUGAUUCAUCAUAUUUGCCAUCAGAUACUGAAUAAAGAGAGAGAAGGGGAAAGGGAAGCGCUGUAUUACAAAUUGAGCUUCUCAAUCUUGUAAGGCCAGUUAAUAAGGAGCAAUUUUGCUAAUAACAUCUGCAUCAUAAUUUUUUAUUAACUACUCAUGGGGUUGAGCCACGGUAACUGUGGACUUCCUAGGGACAGGUGGAGGCUGCUUGCACUCGAACGGGGACUUCCUGAAUACCAAAAAGCAGAAACACAUGCCAAGCUAGACUGAUGGAGCGCCACGCUAGUGAACCCUUGACCUAGCACUAUGUCAUGAGUUGAUGUUCGCGAUCAAGGUUUCACCAUUUCAAUUCUGGCCAGUGAAAAACGUGGUUCGUAGUCUAAUUGUAUAUUAGUAGUCUCAUCAACAAGGCCAUCCAGUUCGCGUUAGUUAGUUGAUGUAGUACUUAUUCAGAGAAGUUUGAUACCAAAGCCCAGAUUUAAAUUUUAAAAGAAUAAAAAUCUUUGUAAUAGUGUUUUUGGGCCAUAGAAAGAGGAGAAGAAUAAAUCUGGACCACUGUGUAGUGAAUGAUUGAAAUUUGAAAGCUUUAUUUAUUGUCGUUAGACGGCAGUUUCACUA